rnacentral:rRNA from 1 species
AGCGAACGCUGGCGGCAGGCUUAACACAUGCAAGUCGAGCGGGCACUUCGGGGUCAGCGGCAGACGGGUGAGUAACACGUGGGAACGUACCCUUUGGUUCGGAAUAACGCUGGGAAACUAGCGCUAAUACCGGAUACGCUCUUUUGGGGAAAGGCUUGCUGCCGAAGGAUCGGCCCGCGUCUGAUUAGCUAGUUGGUGGGGUAAUGGCCUACCAAGGCGACGAUCAGUAGCUGGUCUGUGAGGAUGAUCAGCCACACUGGGACUGAGACACGGCCCAGACUCCUACGGGAGGCAGCAGUGGGGAAUAUUGAACAAUGGGCGCAAGCCUGAUCCAGCCAUGCCGCGUGAGUGAUGAAGGCCUUAGGGUUGUAAAGCUCUUUUGUCCGGGACGAUAAUGACGGUACCGGAAGAAUAAGCCCCGGCUAACUUCGUG